rnacentral:rRNA from 1 species
ACACUCCUGCGGGAGGCAGCAGUGGGGAAUUUUGGACAAUGGGCGAAAGCCUGAUCCAGCAAUGCCGCGUGAGUGAAGAAGGCCUUCGGGUUGUAAAGCUCUUUUGUCAGGGAAGAAACGGUGAGAGCUAAUAUCUCUUGCUAAUGACGGUACCUGAAGAAUAAGCACCGGCUAACUACGUGCCAGCAGCCGCGGUAAUACGUAGGGUGCAAGCGUUAAUCGGAAUUACUGGGCGUAAAGCGUGCGCAGGCGGUUUUGUAAGUCUGAUGUGAAAUCCCCGGGCUCAACCUGGGAAUUGCAUUGGAGACUGCAAGGCUAGAAUCUGGCAGAGGGGGGUAGAAUUCCACGUGUAGCAGUGAAAUGCGUAGAUAUGUGGAGGAACACCGAUGGCGAAGGCAGCCCCCUGGGUCAAGAUUGACGCUCAUGCACGAAAGCGUGGGGAGCAAACAGGAUUAGAAACCCGAGUAGUCCC